UACGGAGGGUGCAAGCGUUGUCCGGAUUUAUUGGGUUUAAAGGGUGCGUAGGCGGAAGAUUAAGUCAGAGGUGAAAGUUUGCGGCUCAACCGUAAAAUUGCCCUUGAUACUGGAUUUCUUGAGUAUAGUUGAGGUAGGCGGAAUUCAUGGUGUAGCGGUGAAAUGCAUAGAUACCAGGAAGAACACCGAUAGCGUAGGCAGCUUACUAAACUAUAACUGACGCUGAGGUACGAAAGCGUGGGUAGCGAACAGG
rnacentral:misc_RNA from 1 species